rnacentral:rRNA from 1 species
GACGAACGCUGGCGGCGUGCUUAACACAUGCAAGUCGAGCGGUAAGGCCCUUUCGGGGGUACACGAGCGGCGAACGGGUGAGUAACACGUGGGUGACCUGCCCUCAGCUCUGGGAUAAGCCUGGGAAACUGGGUCUAAUACUGGAUAUGACUCCACGGUGCAUGUCGUGGGGUGGAAAGCCUUGUGCGGCUGAGGAUGGGCCCGCGGCCUAUCAGCUUGUUGGUGGGGUGANGGCCUACCAAGGCGACGACGGGUAGCCGGCCUGAGAGGGCACCGGCCACACUGGGACUGAGACACGGG